rnacentral:rRNA from 1 species
UACGUAGGGUGCAAGCGUUGUCCGGAAUUAUUGGGCGUAAAGAGCUCGUAGGCGGUCUGUCGCGUCGGUUGUGAAAGCCCGGGGCUUAACCCCGGGUCUGCAGUCGAUACGGGCAGGCGUAGAGUGUGGUAGGGGGAGAUCGGAAUUCCUGGUGUAGCGGUGAAAUGCGCAGAUAUCAGGAGGAACACCGGUGGCGAAGGCGGGUCUCUGGGCCGAUACUGACGCUGAGGAGCGAAAGCGUGGGGAGCGAACAGG